rnacentral:lncRNA from 1 species
CACAGGAAGCUUAGAUCUCAGACAAAUUAGAUAAAAAAUGAAUUUAUAGCAGAUACGUGUCCUAAGGCAUUCAGCUGAAUGUUUGGGUUUUAGGGAAGGAAGGAUAUUCCAUGUGCAACAUUCAGUAUUGGAUGAUCUGGAUUCAGUACAGAAAGCCUGGACUUUUGAGCCUAAACAGGAUCUGAAGCAGAAGGAUGAAAAACAGAUCAACCAACAACAAGAAUCAACCAUCUUGGUUUCUCAUUUGUCAAUAAUGGGCAAUAGUCCUGCCCACAUAUCAGGGAAUGU